rnacentral:rRNA from 1 species
CAGUCGCCGCGGUAAUACAGAGGGUGCGAGCGUUAAUCGGAUUUACUGGGCGUAAAGCGUGCGUAGGCGGCUUCUUAAGUCGGAUGUGAAAUCCCUGAGCUUAACUUAGGAAUUGCAUUCGAUACUGGGAAGCUAGAGUAUGGGAGAGGAUGGUAGAAUUCCAGGUGUAGCGGUGAAAUGCGUAGAGAUCUGGAGGAAUACCGAUGGCGAAGGCAGCCAUUUGGCCUAAUACUGACGCUGAGGUACGAAAGCAUGGGGAGCAAACAGGAUUAGAUACCCCUGUAGUCCCUGUCUCUUAUAC